rnacentral:lncRNA from 1 species
AUGGCGACGGGGGCGGGGCGGGGACACACACCUGCAGCCCCUACGGGGGGCACCGGGACCCCCACGGAGACAGCGCCACCCCCACCGGGACACCGGCACCCCACGGAGACACUGGCAGGCUCUCGUGGAUACGGGCAGCGGGACCUUGCAGGAAUCACAGGGACCCCCGGGGGACAUCUGCACCCUCACGGGGACACCGGGGCCCCACGGUGGCACAGGCACACGGGCAUCCCCACAGGGGACAGCUCCGCGCCCCCCAGCCCAAGUUCGGAGUUCCCCGUUCCCUCCCCGCUCCCGGGGUUCAAACCUCCGCAGAGCUGCUCGGUGGCGGCUGCCGGGGCGGGGGUCGCCAGGUCCGGGACCACCCGAGGGACCGGCAGAGGGUCGAGCGCUGGGUGCGCGGGGCAGCGCGGGGCUGCGACCGCGGUUCUGCCGCAGGGGAAACCCGUGGAGGUCCCGCCACUGUGCGAGGCAGCCGAUCCUUGCCCCGAAGGGUUUCUGGUCCGGGCUGUAAUUAGCGUUCCUGCUAAUUACCCCGCACCUGCGGGGAGGGCAGGCAGCGCCCGGGGAGGGCCCCCGAGCGAGACCCCGGCACACCCCGAGCAGCACUGCUGAGCCAGGGUUGCAGAUGUGCCGGGGCCGCCGGCACAGCUGGAGCGGGGCCGAGGCCUGAGAAAGCCCCUGCGCAUUCCCCUCCCGCCUUCUCCCUUCCCGUUCCCAGCUUCCAUCCGCUGCAGCCCAGACCAGCUGGAGCCAGGCAGCCCUUCCUGGGAUUUAUUCCAGCUUCCUGCCCCUCCUCGCCGGCCGACCGGGACUGGGGCUGCCUUGGGCUGCUUCCUCUCCCUGCUCGCAGCCGCCGGCCGGGCGCCACUGUCAGUAGCCAUCAUCACACGGGACCCCAGCUCCCACCACCAGCACCCACCACUCCAUGGGACCCCAGAGCUCACCUCCAGAACCCACCACUCCAUGGGACCCCAGAGCUCACCUCCAGCACCCACCAUCACAGCAAAGCACCUCCCACCCUACGUGGUAGAGCAUGAGGUACAACUGCAGCACCCAUCACCCAUCAUCACCCAGAUGAAAACCUGCUGAGGUGGGGAGGCUCCUCAGGGCUCUAAAGACGAGCAGCCCUGAUGUGUCCACCCUCACACCAGGCACCAGCAGUCCCAAAACAUGAAACCACCCUCCCCUUGCUUGGUAUUUGCACCCUGUGCACCUCCAGCUCAGCCCAUCCCAUCCCACUGCAAUUGCUGGUGGGAGCUUGGCACAAGGGGUGUGUGCCCAUGAGCUCCCCUGGCCAAGGGGCAUCUUCACCACUGCCAUGAGGUGCCGUGGGUGAGUGAGGAUCAUCCCAAAGCAGAUGAACAGGCAGCUCUGGCCCCUGCCCGAGCUGGGUGCAGUUGAAUGGACGGAGGUUUCCUGCUGGAGUCGGCACAUCCCCGUUUCCGCAGCCCCCACCAGGCCGGAGGGACCCUGCCGAGAGGGGACCUGGCCCAGCAGCGGCGCAGACACAGCGGAGCCAAGCGGCCUCAGCCCUGCCGGACCGGAGGUGCCACAGGCCCAGGUGCAGCGGGUGAGGGAGCCCAGGAGCGCCGAGUGCCGGCUCCAGCGGCGG